GUCCGGGUGGCGGAAUUGGCAGACGCGCUAGCUUGAGGUGCUAGUGCCCCAAAAGGGCAUGGGGGUUCAAGUCCCCCCUCGGACACCG
rnacentral:tRNA from 1 species